UACGUAGGGUGCGAGCGUUAAUCGGAAUUACUGGGCGUAAAGGGCUCGUAGGCGGCCAACUAAGUCGGAUGUGAAAUCCCCAGGCUUAACCUGGGAACUGCAUCCGAUACUGGAUGGCUUGAAUCCGGGAGAGGGAUGCAGAAUUCCAGGUGUAGCGGUGAAAUGCGUAGAUAUCAGGAGGAACACCGAUGGCGAAGGCAGCUCGCUGGGACGGUACUGACGCUGAGACGCGAAAGCUAGGGGGAGCAAACAGG
rnacentral:rRNA from 1 species